AGAGAAUAGAUACCCUGGUAGUCCUGGCCGUAAACGAUGUCCACUGGAUCGUGGUGGCUCUGACGCCAUCACGGUCGAAGCAAAAGUGCUAAGUGGACCGCCUGGGAAGUACGGUCGCAAGGCUAAAACUCAAAGGAAUUGACGGGGGCUCACACAAGCGGUGGAGCAUGUGGUUCAAUUCGAAGCAACGCGCAGAACCUUACCUGGGCUUGACAUGCUAGGAUUAUCCCUAUGAAAAGUAGGGUAGGCCCUUCGGGGUACAACUAGUACAGGUGCUGCAUGGCUGUCGUCAGCUCGUGUCGUGAGAUGUCGGGUUAAGUCCCUUAACGAGCGAAACCUUUGCCCUUAGUUACCAUCGGGUUAUGCCGGGGACUCUAAGGGGACUGCCGGUGUCAAACCGGAGGAAGGUGGAGAUGACGUCAAGUCCUCAUGGCCUUUAUGCCCAGGGCCACACACGUGCUACAAUGGCGUUCACAAAGCGACCCUAAAGUGCGAACUCAUGGAAAUCGCAGAAAUAACGCCCAGUUCAG
rnacentral:rRNA from 1 species